rnacentral:lncRNA from 1 species
AACAGAGCAGAGAACAGAGCAGGGAACAGAGCAGAGAACAGAGCAGAGAACAGGGCAGGGAACAGGGCAGGGAACAGGGCAGGGAACAGAGCAGGGAACAGAGCAGGGAUCAGAACAGGGAACAGAGCAGAGAACAGGGCAGGGAACAGGGCAGGGAACAGAGCAGGGAACAGAGCAGGGAACAGAGCAGGGUACAGAGCAGGGAACAGAGCAGAGAACAGAACAGGGAACAGAGCAGAGAACAGAGCAGGGAACAGGGUAGGGAACAGGGCAGGGAACAGAGCAGGGAACAGAGCAGGGAACAGAGCAGGGAACAGAGCAGGGAACAGAGCAGGGAACAGAGCAGAGAACAGAGCAGAGAACAGAGCAGGGAACAGAGCAGAGAACAGAGCAGGGAACAGAGCAGGGUAGGGAACAGAGCAG